rnacentral:rRNA from 1 species
UACGGGGGGGGUAAGCGUUGUUCGGAAUUACUGGGCGUAAAGCGCACGUAGGCGGACAUUUAAGUCAGGGGUGAAAUCCCAGAGCUCAACUCUGGAACUGCCUUUGAUACUGGGUGUCUUGAGUAUGGAAGAGGUGAGUGGAAUUCCGAGUGUAGAGGUGAAAUUCGUAGAUAUUCGGAGGAACACCAGUGGCGAAGGCGGCUCACUGGUCCAUUACUGACGCUGAGGUGCGAAAGCGUGGGGAGCAAACAGG